rnacentral:rRNA from 1 species
GAUGAACGCUGGCGGCGUGCUUAACACAUGCAAGUCGUACGGUAGCUUUGGAUUCGUCUAAAGUGAGAGUGGCAAACGGGUGAGUAACACGUAGGUGACCUACCCCAAAGAGGGGAAUAACUGCUGGAAACGGUAGCUAAUACCUCAUGUGCCCGGUGAUUCGAUUCGCCGGGUAAAGCCGCAAGGCGCUUUGGGAUGGACCUGCGGCCCAUCAGGUAGUUGGUAGGGUAAUGGCCUACCAAGCCUAUGACGGGUAGGGGGCGUGAGAGCGCGGCCCCCCACACUGGCACUGCGACACGGGCCAGACUCCUACGGGUGGCUG